rnacentral:rRNA from 1 species
AUACGGAGGGUGCAAGCGUUACUCGGAAUCACUGGGCGUAAAGGGUGCGUAGGCUGACUUUUAAGUCAGGUGUGAAAUCCAAUGGCUCAACCAUUGAACUGCACUUGAAACUGGGAGUCUAGAGUUCAGAAGGGGCAGAUGGAAUUAGUGGUGUAGGGGUAAAAUCCGUAGAUAUCACUAGGAAUAUCAAAAGCGAAGGCGAUCUGCUGGGAUGAUACUGACGCUGAGGCACGAAAGCGUGGGGAGC